GACGAACGCUGGCGGCGUGCCUAAUACAUGCAAGUCGUGCGAGACCUUCGGGUCUAGCGGCGGACGGGUGAGUAACACGUGGGUAACCUGCCUGAUCGACUGGGAUAACGCUUGGAAACGAGUGCUAAUACCGGAUAAUCUCCUGCACCGCAUGGUGCGGAAGUAAAAGGAGCUUUUGCUUCACGAUCAGAUGGACCCGCGGCGCAUUAGCUAGUUGGUGAGGUAACGGCUCACCAAGGCGACGAUGCGUAGCCGACCUGAGAGGGUGACCGGCCACACUGGGACUGAGACACGGCCCAGACUCCUACGGGAGGCAGCAGUAGGGAAUCUUCCGCAAUGGGCGCAAGCCUGACGGAGCAACGCCGCGUGAGUGAUG
rnacentral:rRNA from 1 species